CUUUGGUUUUUGGGCUAUAACAUGACCUUUUCUUAGCGAGAUUCUCCCAACUAUCCUGCAAAUGAGCCAUCAGUACAUGAAGACGCCCAUCAGAUGUGACCGUAAACGCUCCACACGCAACUCAGAGGGUCUCUUCACCUAGUUGUUUUGGAAUGGAAACUAAUUGUUAAAAGCGUGAACCACUCAGGAUACGUUCCUGCACAUGCAUGGGAAGCUUGCCGGGCCGAGGAUCAUCACCUCUCCCAGUCUAACAUGCAUUGGGAUAAACUGGAAAACACUUUUAAAAUCACACUUUUAAAUCACGCCCCCAAACCGCAUCUCGCUAACGACACGUCACAUUUAUCCUGCAGAUGUGUGUGUAAGACUGUGCCGCGCUGGGCCGUCCCGAGGUUGGAUCCUUAAUGGUUGUUCUGAUCAUGCCGUCAUUGUCUGCGUAGAGUUUGUUUUCCUCUCUUUCUUUUUUUAUUGAACCUUGUAGCCUUGGUUACUGUCACCAAGAGACAGCCAAGUUUUGCGAUUAUGGGAAAUGCAUCAAGAUGGAAAUUAAUCUUAACCUUUCAGCAACACUCUGUGUGUGUGUGUGUGUGUGUGUGAACAAACUGUGUGUUCAUCACCUGUUUUCAGUAUUGAGUUUGCAUCCGCCUUGGUUUGAAGUCUGACACAUUUUGCUUAAUUUAUAACUUAUAAAGGAAUAGUCCUCCGAAAAUGACUCAUGGGUGAACUAUUCCUUUUUUUCUUUUCUUAAUAUGUCCCUUAUUUUGUCAUCUUAUUGAGUGUGUGUCAAUUUUUGAAUCUUUUUUUCACUCAUGUACGGUUCUCUGAGUAUGUGCGAGUUACUGCAAGUCGUUCUUCCUUUUAUAAAUGCAUUUCAACAAAUGGCACCUGAAUGUUCCUCUCUUUUGGUUUGUUUUGAAAUGCUUUCAUUAAAAACCAGAAAAAACCCACAAGAAUCUGUUGGGAGCGACGUGACCUCUUGUGUGUGAUGCAAUGGAUCGUGGCUUUAAGCUGUCUUUUUUAAAUUAGUGAUGUUAGCUAACUUAGUUGAAACACUGAUACGUGAGAUGAAUCGAAGAAAACCCAUCACGUGUUGUACUACUGCUACUCUGACAUUAUUUAAAACAGACUCGAGGGAUAUUUGUAUAUUUUCUAUUACUAAAGGAACGGUGGCCUGUCGUCCUGAAUUUCAUUGUACUGUACAAAUGCACUCCUGUCUCGCUCCCUUAGUCGCAUGUUGAGUAGUUUGAGUUUUGUAUAUUUAUUGUAAUAACACAAAAAUCAAAUAAAAAACAACUACAUAA